AGAGCGAACGCUGGCGGCAGGCCUAACACAUGCAAGUCGAACGGACUCUUCGGAGUUAGUGGCGGACGGGUGAGUAACACGUGGGAACGUGCCUUUUGGUUCGGAAUAGCUCCUGGAAACGGGUGGUAAUGCCGAAUGUGCCCUUCGGGGGAAAGAUUUAUCGCCAUUAGAGCGGCCCGCGUCUGAUUAGCUAGUUGGUGAGGUAAAGGCUCACCAAGGCUACGAUCAGUAGCUGGUCUGAGAGGAUGACCAGCCACAUUGGGACUGAGACACGGCCCAAACUCCUACGGGAGGCAGCAGUGGGGAAUCUUGCGCAAUGGGCGAAAGCCUGACGCAGCCAUGCCGCGUGAAUGAUGAAGGUCUUAGGAUUAGUAAAAUUCUUUCAGUAGGGAACGAUAAGUGACGGUACCUACAGAAAGAACGCCCGCUAACUUCGUGCCAGCAGCCGAC
rnacentral:rRNA from 1 species